GACGAACGCUGGCGGCGUGCCUAAUACAUGCAAGUAGAACGCAGUUGCGAACGGGUGAGUACCGCGUAGGUAACUGCCUCAUAGGGGGGGAUAACUAUUGGAAACGCUAGCUCAUACCGCAUACUGUGAGCUGGACCUGCGUUGUAUUAGGUAGUUGGUGAGGUAAAGGGUCAACAAGGCGAAGAUACAUAGCCGAGCUGAGAGGGAUGUCGGCCACACCGGGACUGGGACACGGGCCAGACUCCUACGGGAAGCAGGAGUAGGGGAAUUUUGGCAAUGGGCGGAAGUCUGACCGAGCAACGCCGGGGGAGUGAAGAAGGGUUUUGGGUCGUAAAGCUCUUUUGAUAGAGAAGCGGUACCUAACCAGAAAGGGACGGCUAACUACGUGCCAGCCGCCGCGGUAAUAC
rnacentral:rRNA from 1 species